UGUUCUUACAUGACUAAGAGCUGGCAGACCGAGCUGUCCGUCUGAAUGGGUAAUUAAUUCACAUAAGUCUAUGUUGUGAGAUACAUACAAAAACUACAGACCUAAUUAUUUGCAACAUUCUACUCCAUAUAUCCUCAUAAACAUGCCCAACAUUUCAGACAUACUUGGUGCCACUUGCUACAAGAAUUCAACCAAGACAGCAUCUUCUCAUGAUUUCAGGUCUGUGUCAAUACAUGGCUCCCAGGGAAUGACUCCACCUCAAGAGCUUUAGACAACACCAAUCAGAAAACUCCUGGAAGCAACAGCCACCCCAAAACACUUCUGCAGAAAAAGGAAGAGUGAAAUAUUGUGUCUGAGAAACCACCCAGUUAUUGGCACUGAGACCAUCCUUCAGCUGACAGCUGUGUUUUGGUGUUUCGUGAUCUCAAAAAGCGUAUCAAGAAGCCUCACAGUAGAAAUGUCCUCAAACAUCCCUUCUGUAAAGUUGGUAACACGCACUGAGGAGUCAGAUGCUGCUUUAACUUGUUCUCCAAUAUG